CAGUCGCCGCGGUAAUACGGAGGGUGCAAGCGUUAAUCGGAAUUACUGGGCGUAAAGCGUGCGUAGGUGGUUUGUUAAGUUGGAUGUGAAAUCCCCGGGCUCAACCUGGGAACUGCAUUCAAAACUGGCAGGCUAGAGUAGGGCAGAGGGUGGUAGAAUUUCCUGUGUAGCGGUGAAAUGCGUAGAUAUAGGAAGGAACACCAAUGGCGAAGGCGACCAUCUGGGCCAACACUGACACUGAGGCACGAAAGCGUGGGGAGCAAACAGGAUUAGAUACCCGUGUAGUCCCUGUCUCUUAUAC
rnacentral:rRNA from 1 species